rnacentral:lncRNA from 1 species
GGCGAUCAAGGUUAUAUCAUUGCAAGUAUUUUUGAUAUAUAUGUCAAUACAAAUCUGAGCAAGUUUAAUUGCAAAAUAAAUGAACUGCGGUAGAAGUGUUUUGAGCAUUGGGGGUGGGGGGCUCACUAUUCAGAAGAAGCCACAAGUAGUUCACCAGUAAAGGUCAAUCUAGCUACUUCACAGUCGGACAGUUGCGAUUACAUCCUGUAGAAAACAUGCAAGAUCAGAAACAACCUUAUCACAUUCUGUAGGAAAAUUAAAAAUGGAAACUUGCGGGAAGUGCUGUGCAAGCAGGCACUCGAUCUCCACAAGCAUUGAUAGCUCAGGAGCAAG